UAAUACGUAGGGGGCAAGCGUUGUCCGGAUUUACUGGGCGUAAAGCGCGCGUAGGCGGAAGGGCAAGCGUGGCCUGAAAGCCCCCGGCUCAACCGGGGAGGGUGGCUGCGAACUGUGCUUCUUGAGGGCGACAGAGGAGUGUGGAAUUCCGGGAGUAGCGGUGAAAUGCGUAGAGAUCCGGAGGAACACCCGUGGCGAAGGCGGCACUCUGGGUCGCCCCUGACGCUGAGGCGCGAAAGCGUGGGGAGCGAACGGGAUUAGAUACCCCGGUAGUCCACGCUGUAAACGAUGGUCACCAGGUGUGUGCGGUAUCGACCCCGCACGUGCCGGCGCUAACGCAUUCAGUGACCCGCCUGGGGAGUACGGCCGCAAGGUUG
rnacentral:rRNA from 1 species